UUCCCGAUUGGGCAAGUUCUCAGGAAACGGAGCUGCAGAGGCAGGGGCUCCACACGAUAGAGGAGGUCUCCAUUCGUUGGGAUUCCACCAAAGGCGGCAGAGACCACACCGGUGACCUCAGCGCCCUGAAGGAGGAGGCCUGGGACCUGAGUCUCAUUUCGGAGAGCAGGUCCAGCGGAAAAGGUUCUGCUAAAACCUGGACCCG